GCAGCGCCCUGGCUUGUCGCUGGCAUCUAUGACGGAUGCGAGAGGAAAGUCCGGGCAGCAUAGGGCACCCCACUUCUGAAAAUGGAAGCCAUUGGUGACAGUGGGAUAAGGCAGAAGAAAACAACCGCCUGCCUAUCUAGACGGGUAAGGGUGAGAAGGUGGUGUAAGAGACCACCAGCCAGCGGGUGAUCGCUGGGCUGUGUCUUCUGGGGGCUGCAAGUCCAUGUAUACCGCAGUUUGAAGGUUGCCCGCCUAAUGUCCCUAUGGGACUCUGCGGAGGGUAGGAUGCUUGAGCCUUGGGGUGACUCAAGGCCUAGAUAAAUGACAGGCGCUUCCUUGGAAGUAACAGAACCCGGCUUAUAGGGGCACUGCUUUU
rfam:Prevotella sp. CAG:1320 genomic scaffold, scf117